rnacentral:lncRNA from 1 species
GCGAAUUGCACACGGUGUAUAAAGCAUCUCCGGCAGAGCCUGGUGCAUGUAACAACCGCAUCUCUGCGAUGGGAGCCCUGAGCCUGGGCCUGGGCCUCCGGGUCAACCAGACGCUGAGGAUUCUUGUACCUCACCAGAGCAUUCUGUCUGACUAUCUGAUGGAGACACCUUCUGAGCCGAAACAGUGUGGCCAUAGUGGCUGUGUCCUCAGAGAUGAGGAGCCCCUCCUUCCCUUUCACAUUGCUCUCUGGCCUUCCCGGACCUGGCUUCUCGCAGCUUUGUGUGCGUGUUUCUCAGGUGUCCAGGAAUCCCAUGCGAAGUGAAGGCUGCUUUGGUCUCCUCAAGUCUGUCCAGGACAAUCCAGCCUCUGCCCUGGAACUGCUGGAUUUCUCAGAUAUCCAGGUGAACGCAGAGUUUGAUGGCCUUGCUAGCUCAGUGAGGGGAAUUCUUCCAGAACUCUGCAUAAAGACUGGCGCUUGCAGAGUGGAGUAUAAAAAGGAGUUGCUGCCAGUCUUCAGAUCAGCCCUGCCAGCGUCUGUCCCUAAGUGACCUUGGAGUGUGGCUUCCUCAUCUCCAAUCAGCUGCUUUGACCUCCAGGGUAUAUACUUGAAAGAAAUGAAGACAUAUGUCCCCACAAGAACUCGUGCAUGAAUAUCCAUAGCAACAUUAUUUAUAAUAUUCUAAGAGUGAAAAUGCCCACCAGUGGAUAAAUGCAAUGUGGUAUAUCCAUACAGUGGAAUAUUAUUUGGCAAUAAAAAGGAAUUUGAGGUGAUACCAAUGUUCUAAAAUGUAUUGUGGUGAUGGCUACGUAACUGUGCAUAUUCUAAAGGCAAUUGAAUUACAGAUGCUUUACAUGAAUGAACCGUAUGGUAUGUGAACGGCAUCUCAAUAAAACUGUUUCGAAAAGAAGGAAAAGGACGGACACAUGCUGAAAACGGGUGAAACUAGAAAACAUGGCGCUAAGUGAAAGAAGCCAGCCACAAGAUCACGUGUCGCAUGACCGCAUUUAUGUGAAACAUCCGGAGUAUGCAAAUCUAUACAGACAGAAAGUAGAUUAUACAUUGCCUAGGUGCAGAGAAAUGGAAGUAUUGGAGGUUGACGGCUAAAGGAUGUGGAUUUCUUUGGGGGGUGAUAAAAGUGUUCUAAAAUUGAUUGUGGUGAUGUGCGACUCUAUGAAUACGCUAAAAACCGCUCGAUUGUACAUUUUAAAUGGGUG